AGAGUUUGAUCCUGGCUCAGAAUCAACGCUGGCGGCGCGCUUAACACAUGCAAGUCGCACGAGAAAGCGGGGGCAACCUCGUAAGUAAAGUGGCGUACGGGUGAGUAACACGUGGGUAAUCUACCUCUGGGUGUGGAAUAACGCUGGGAAACCGGCGCUAAUACCGCAUAAGCUCGGGAGAGGAAAGCAGCAAUGCGCCGAGAGAGGAGCCCGCGGCCGAUUAGCUAGUUGGUGAGGUAACGGCCCACCAAGGCUUAGAUCGGUAGCCGGCCUGAGAGGGCACACGGCCACACUGGCACUGAAACACGGGCCAGACUCCUACGGGAGGCAGCAGUGGGGAAUCUUGCACAAUGGGGGCAACCCUGAUGCAGCGACGCCGCGUGAGCGAUGAAGCCCUUCGGGGUGUAAAGCUCU
rnacentral:rRNA from 1 species